UUGAACGCUGGCGGCAUGCCUUACACAUGCAAGUCGAACGGCAGAAAGGGGGGCAACCCCUGAGUAGGAGUGGCGAACGGGUGAGUAACUACAUCGGAACAUGUCCAUGUAGCGGGGGAUAACCGCGUCGAAAGAGAGGCUAAUACCGCAUACGACUCUACGGAGGAAAGAGGGGGAUCGCAAGACCUCGCACUAUUAGGAGCUGGCCGAUAUCGGAUUAGCUAGUUGGUGGGGUAAAAGCCCUACCAAGGCGACGAUCCGUAGCUGGUCUGAGAGGACUGAUCAGCCACACUGGAACUGAGACACGGUCCAGACUCCUACGGGAGGCAGCAGUGGGGAAUUUUGGACAAUGGGCGCAAGCCUGAUCCAGCCAUGCCGCGUGAGUGAAGAAGGCCUUCGGGUUGUAAAGCUCUUUCGGCAGGGAACGAAAUGCGUCGUGAUAACACCGCGCAUCAUGACGGUACCUGCAGAAGAAGCACCGGCUAACUACGUGCCAGCAGCCGCGGUAAUACGUAGGGUGCAGGCGUUAAUCGGAAUUACUGGGCGUAAAGCGUGCGCAGGCGGUUUGCUAAGACAGAUGUGAAAGCCCCGGGCUUAGCCUGGGAACUGCGCUUGUUAACUGGCAGGCUUGAGUGUGGCAGAGGGGGGUGGAAUUCCACGUGUAGCAGUGAAAUGCGUAGAUAUGUGGAGGAACACCGAUGGCGAAGGCAGCCCCCUGGGCUAACACUGACGCUCAUGCACGAAAGCGUGGGGAGCAAACAGGAUUAGAUACCCUGGCAGUCCACGCCCUAAACGAUGUCAACUGGUUGUCGGGGAUGCAAUUCCCUUGGUAACGUAAGCUAACGCGUGAAGUUGACCGCCUGGGGAGUACGGCCGCAAGGUUAAAACUCAAAGGAAUUGACGGGGACCCGCACAAGCGGUGGAUUAUGUGGAUUAAUUCGAUGCAACGCGAAAAACCUUACCUACCCUUGACAUGCCAGGAACCCUCAGAGAUGUGAGGGUGCCCGAAAGGGAACCUGGACACAGGUGCUGCAUGGCUGUCGUCAGCUCGUGUCGUGAGAUGUUGGGUUAAGUCCCGCAACGAGCGCAACCCUUGUCAUUAGUUGCCUACAUUCAGUUGGGCACUCUAAUGAGACUGCCGGUGACAAACCGGAGGAAGGUGGGGAUGACGUCAAGGUCCUCAUGGCCCUUAUGGGUAGGGCCUUCACACGUAAUACAAUGGCCGGUACAGAGGGCAGCCAACCCGCGAGGGGGAGCUAAUCCCAGAAAGCCGGUCGUAGUCCGGAUUGCAGUCUGCAACUCGACUGCAUGAAGCCGGAAUCGCUAGUAAUCGCGGAUCAGCAUGUCGCGGUGAAUACGUUCCCGGGUCUUGUACACACCGCCCGUCACACCAUGGGAGUGGGUUCCACCAGAAGUAGUUAGCCUAACCGCAAGGAGGGCGACUACCACGGUGAGAUUCAUGACUGGGGUG
rnacentral:rRNA from 1 species